AAAUAUGUGAGAAUUUUUUGGAUAAGGGAGUUUUUUUUCACCCCCCUACUGUACUCUAUUAAGAAUAAGCGAAAGCUUUUGUGACAAAGCUUUAUGUUUGUAGCGCCCGGGUUUUGGGACGGCUAAUUUUAUAGUUCGUGCGUGUGGGCAUUGUUGCUAGUUAAACGCCAUUAGGGUGGUUCAGUUUUGGAAUUAUUUUUCUGGCCAAAACCAAUAAAAGAAGACUGUCAUAUAUGGAUGAUUUUGUUUGUAUCAUUAGCGUUUAUGUAAUUUUUCCUUGAAUGUGUAAAGCAGAUCUACCGAUUGGGAAGGUUUAAAGUAGCGAUUUAAAAUUAUACUGCGAUUUGCAUACUUAUAUAUGUGAAUACAUAGGUAGGGGUAAAACCAACUAACAGAGCUCUAUUAGGUAGGAUUCUUCCCCCUAACCUUUUUUUUUUGAAUUCGAAUACACAGUCUUUUUGUGUGAUAUAAAAUUCUACUCGGUAGGCUGUUUAGGUCCAACUAAGGAGUAUACGAAGAAUAAGAUUUGUGUAUAUUAAGCGUUCAGUAUAAGCAUGUUUUAUUAUAAAAAUUAUUAUUAUUUGAAUAUAUUUUGAUGUUAAUGUU